GGACAUGUAGUUCAGUGGUUAGAAUACACCUGUGAUGGGUGAGGCCAUUGGUUCAAAUCCAAUCAUGUCCA
rnacentral:tRNA from 1 species